rnacentral:rRNA from 1 species
AUGGAGGGGCUCUAUCACAACUCCGUGAACCUCUCAUGUAUCAACCGCGCGCAUAUUGUGCUGCUUCCCAAGGCCGAGGGGGUGCUCACUCCAGGUGGCUUCCGACCCAUCUCGCUCCAGAACUGCGACAUCAAGAUCCCGUGCAAGGUUUUGACAACGCGCCUUCAGCAACAGAUUUUGGAUGUGGUGGACGUGGACCAAUCCGGGUUCAUUAAGGGGCGAAGCAUCUCUGAAAACUUUGUAUACGCAACGGAGAUCAUCCAAUGCUGCGAGACCCGCCGGGCGCCCUCGUUGGUCUUGAAGCUCGACUUUGCCAAAGCCUUCGACUCCAUCAACUGGGGGAGCCUUCGAUGGAUUAUGGAGGUGCGUGGCUUUCCGCCCCUCUGGUGCGACUGGAUGGACUCCAUCUUCUAGUCGUCCAUGUCCGCGGUGGUGCUCAAUGGCGUGCUCGGGCGAUGGAUCAAAUGCAAGAAGGGGUUGCGGCAGGGGGACCCCCUCUCCCCCUACCUGUUCCUCCUCGUCGCGGACGUGCUACAACAGAUGAUCAAGAGGGAUGGUGGGAUGCGCCACCCUCUGUUCGCCGAUGCGCCCCCCCUUGUCCUCCAGUACGCUGACGACACCAUCAUCAUCAUGCACGCGGAGCUGGCGCGGUUCGGCGUCUCAAGGGCAUCCUUGAUGACUUCACGGCUGCGACGGGGCUCGUCAUCAACUUCCACAAAAGCACCGUCGCGCCCGUCCAGGUCCCCGAGGAUGAUCUUCGCGACAUGA